GCCUCCGUAGCUCAGGGGAUAGAGCACCGCUCUCCUAAAGCGGGUGCCGCAGGUUCGAAUCCUGCCGGGGGCACCA
rnacentral:tRNA from 7 species